AAAAAUAAAAAAUAAAAAAGUGGAAGGGUUGGAUCAAAAACACAGAGUCUCUUUCUCUUCCGUCGGAAAAUGUCCCAAAGGAAAGAAGCACAACCAACGAAGAUCCUCCGACGUAGGACGAAGCAUGAUCUCCCAGAAGAAAUCGUAUUGGAAAUCCUAGCAAGACUACCAGUCAAAUCCCUACUAAGAUUCAGGUGCGUUUGCAAAACCUGGUACUCUUACAUCACCAAUCCCAAUUUCAUCUCCACCCACUUGCUGUGCUACAACAAUCACGAUGGUGGUUAUGUCAUACACAUGCCCAGGACUGCUGUUCACAUGGCUUAUUUUCAUCGUCCUCACAGUCAAAUCUGUACGCUCGCUUUCGACCGCACCUUUGAAACAAUAUCCGAGUUUAGAAUUCCCUUCACUUUUCAAUCUGGGUAUCACGGUUUAGUGGGUUCUUGUAAUGGCAUAUUAUUUUUCACUGAUUUUAUCAAAUCAAAGUCUAAAAAUGUGUACUUGUGGAACCCCAGUAUUAGAAAAUUUAAGAGGUUGCCCAAUACUUGCUUGAACCAGACCCAGGUGCUUAAUGUGGCACACGGAUUUGGGUAUGAUUCCCUGAAUAAUGACUACAAGGUUGUCAGGUUUUCAUGGACUCGUACCAAAUGGAUGCCUCCCCCUGAGGUUGAGGUGUACUCAUUAAGUUCGGAUUCAUGGAAAAGAGUUGAACUUGGAAUCUCCUGGAGACCCAAUGUUAUUUCCUACAGUUUUAAUGGUAUUUCGGCAUUCCCAUUUGUUAGUGGACAUUUGCAUUGGAUGAUAGAAAUGAUAGAAGAAGGAGGUGGGCAAGAGAGGCGUUAUACUCCUAUGAUUUUGUCAUUUGAUGUCAAUAGUGAGAAAUUCAAAGAGCUACCAGUGCCUGAUGAAGGAGGUCUUAUUGCGAAAUGUCUUACGUCAUACAAGGAAAAACUUGCUUUGAUUAAAUUUGGACAUGGUGCACAACCACUUAGCAAGCUAUGCUCCAUAUGGGUGAUGAGGGAGUAUGGUGUGCUUGAUUCCUGGAAUAAACUUUGUGUUCUACCAAUUGAAAUUUCUACUGAUUUCAUUGGUUUCACCAAGUAUGGUUUACUUCUAGUUCGACAUAGGUCUCGCCUGGUCUCUACCAACAGUGAAUUAGAGAGGAAACAUAAGUCUGUUUUAAUUGAUCCUGAAGCUCUACAUGAGAAGGAGAUUAGUAAUCAAAUUGAUUAUCACUUAGAUGUAGCUACUUACAUGGAGAACCUUGCCCUACUUGAUGGAGCAAACGUGGUAUCUUACUGAGAGGAUGGUGCUGGGUAUAACAAGCGAUUUCUUCACAGAUGAGAUGAGAAAGAGGAGCACUCUGUUGAAGUUGAAUUUAAGAUGUAGGAGAGCUCCAAGAUUGAAAAGAAAUUUUUUUGCCAGAGGGAGAAGAAGAGCUGGAAUGCUUUGAAGAGGAAGUGGACUCAAAGAUGGAAGGUGGUGAGAGCUUUGAUAAGAUGUAGCAGCAGCACCAUAAGAAGUAGAAGAAGCCCUUUGCUCGGAAAGUUUGGAAGCCUACUCAAGAAGGAUGGCACUAGCAACCAUAAGUAUAGAGAUUGACCAGUUUGGCCUAACUUGUGCCGUAAUAGCAGGCAGUUAUUUUGUUCUAUGGUCAAAUUAUCUAAGCCCACCUCAUAGGUUCUCAGCAUGGCCCAUUGAAAUGCAUUUGUUUCUACUUCUUCCGUCUUGCAAACAGGAAACUGGAAAGAGCCUAAUACUAGAACAAAUGCUUCAAUCAGUUCCUUACCCAGUUACCCCCAAAGCUAUGCAGGUUACAUCAUGCUAAACUCGGGUUUGGGUGUGAUUCCCUGAAUAAUGACUACAAGGUUGUCAGGAUUUCACGGUCCCUUGUCAAAGUUAUGCCUCCCAUUGAGGUUGAGGUUGAGGUGUACACUUUAAGUUCGGAUUCAUGGAAAAGAAUUGGACUUGGAAUUCCGUGGAGACCCAAUGUUGUGUUCUGGAAAAUAAGUUGUAUUUUGUUAUCCCCAUUUGUUAGUGGACAUUUGCAUUGGAUGUUUCUAUAUGUAGAAGAUAGAGUGGACGCGAGAGGCGUUUUACUCAUAUGAUUUAGUCAUUUGAUGUCAAUAGUGAGAAAUUCAAAGAGCUACCACUGCCUGACGAUGAAGGAAGUUGUAUUACGAUAUAUCUCACAUCAUUCAAGGGGAAACUGGCUUUGAUUAAAUUCAGAUAUGGUGUACAAUCAUGUGACACACUAUGCUCCAUCUGGGUGAUGAGGGAGUAUGGUGUGUUUGAUUCCUGGAAUAAACUCUGUGUUGUACCAGUUGAAGGCACUUAUAAUAUCAUUGGUUUUACCAAGUAUGAUUUACUUCUAAUUUGAAGGAGGCCCCGGCUGGUCUCCACCAACAGUGAAUUAGAGAGGGAAGUUAAGUCUGUUUUAAUUGACCCCGAAACUCUACAUGAGAAUGAAAUUAGUAUUCCAGUUGAUAACCGUUUAGAUUUAGCUACUCACAUGGAGAGCCUUGCUUUACUUGAUGGAGAAAAUGUGGUCUCUUACUAAGAUGAUGGUGCUAUGUUGUAUAAGAAGUGAUGUCAUUACAGGAGGAUGGAGCAAAGAAAUGGAAGAGGGCUGGGUAGAAGUUUAAUUUAAGAUGUGGGAGACUGCAAGAUUCCAAAGAAAGAAUGUUUUCUGGAGAGAGAAGCAGAACAGGAAUGCAACAAAGAGGAAGUGGACUCAAAGAUGGAAGGAGGUGAGAACUUUGAUCAGAUAAACGGGAUAUCUUCUACAGAAAACAUUGAUGAUGGUGGAAGCCCACCAUCAAAGUAGCAGCAACAUAAGAAGAAGAAGCCUAUGCACUGCUCAGAAAUUUUGGACGCCUACUCAAGAAUAAGGGUACUAGCAGCCAUAGGUAGAGAAAUAGACCAGUUUGGCUUAACUUCUGCCCUACUAGCAGGCAGGUAUAUUUGGUAUUAUUGCACCUAAAUGUUUUUACUUCAUUGUUUAUGUUCCCAGAAAGCAGAUAGGUUAAAGAAAUGAAGAGGCUUGUAUUAUGUUUUUAGUUUUUUCUUCUAUUUCUUUUGCUUUUAAUGUGAUUCCUCACGUGGGACAGGAUCUUGUAUGUGAUUGGAGAUUUUUUUUUUACCUUCAUUUUCAUUGUGUUAAUUGUGCAUGUCUAGAUUUUGUGAAAAGAAGUGGUAAUUUUGAAUUUUCAUCU